rnacentral:lncRNA from 1 species
GGGGUUUGCAACCAGGUCUUGCUCGGAAGGCAUGCUGGCCUAAUACUUAUGUGAUCCAGGCUGGCCUCACAGGCUCUCAACAAUCCUCCUGCUAGACUGGAAAUGGCCUAAGUGCCUGGAUCACAGAUGUGCUAUGAACAAUUUCCUCGAGUCCCUGCGGCUGUGACUUCCCUGCUAUGCUGGACUAUAACAUGGAACUAGGAGCAGAGAGGAACCCUGCGGUCACUUCCUCUUCUACAUUGCUUUUGUCAAGUAUUUUAUCACAUCAAUCUGAAACUUAAUUUCUAAACAGAGAAUGUCAUGAUGUUGUAAGUUUAUAGAUGUUUUAUGGAUAGGCCUAGUAAUUAGUGCUGAAAUGUAAGUUCUGUGUGAUCGUUGGGUGUGUCCAACAUCCCACCAGUAGCCUUGGGAGGAGCCCAAGUGGCCGCACAAUUGAACAAGCCAAAGCCCAAGACAAUGUAUCCUGCUACAAUGAAAGCCUUGUGCUACUUUAGAAACCUGAUUGCCAGCAACAUUGUAUCCAGCCUAUCACACAUGCAAUGAAAUGGUAACUCUUUGUUCUGUCAGAGCUAAAUCACUAUUUGGGCAAAUUCAUCUCCUUGUUGUGCUCAGCAUUACAGAAUAAUAUAAUAUCUGAGUAGGAAAGUAGGAUAAAAGAAAUGUGCUUUUUCCUUGAGCCAAACUUGGGUAGUAACAACUAUAUGCCAAGUGGGUAAGUGUCGAAUUCUCUUGCUUUUUACACAUUUUUCUAGCUACUAUGUCCAAUUACAG